UACGAAGGGGGCUAGCGUUGCUCGGAAUCAUUGGGCGUAAAGCGCACGUAGGCGGUUCGUUAUGUCGGAUGUGAAAGCCCUUGGCUUAACCGAGGAAGUGCAUCCGAAACUGGCGAGCUAGAGUACUAAAGAGGAUCGCGGAAUUCCCGGUGUAGAGGUGAAAUUCGUAGAUAUCGGGAGGAACACCGGUGGCGAAGGCGGCGAUCUGGGAAGAUACUGACGCUGAGGUGCGAAAGCGUGGGGAGCAAACAGG
rnacentral:rRNA from 1 species